UUAGGUCAGCAUUUCCCAACCUUGGGCCUCCAGCUGUUUUUGGACUACAACUCCCAUAAUCCUCAGCUAGCAAGACCAGUGGUCAGGGAUGAUGGGAACUGUAGUUCGAAAACAGCUGGAGGCCCAAGGUUGGGAAACACUGGCUU
rnacentral:miRNA from 1 species